rnacentral:rRNA from 1 species
UACGUAGGGUGCAAGCGUUGUCCGGAAUUAUUGGGCGUAAAGAGCUCGUAGGCGGUUUGUCGCGUCUGCUGUGAAAACGCGAGGCUCAACCUCGCGCCUGCAGUGGGUACGGGCAGACUAGAGUGCGGUAGGGGAGACUGGAAUUCCUGGUGUAGCGGUGAAAUGCGCAGAUAUCAGGAGGAACACCGGUGGCGAAGGCGGGUCUCUGGGCCGAUACUGACGCUGGAGGAGCGAAAAGCCGUGGGGAGCGAACAGG